UCCUACUCUGUGUCGUAGCCUGGCGUCC
rnacentral:piRNA from 1 species